rnacentral:tRNA from 1 species
UACUUUUAGUAUAAGUAAUACAAUAACCUUUCUAGUUAAAAAAAUAUAUACACAUAUAUAAAGUAC